rnacentral:rRNA from 1 species
GUCCACGCCCUAAACGAUGUCGACUGGUUGUUGGGGAAGGCAACUUCCUUAGUAACGAAGCUAACGCGUGAAGUCGACCGCCUGGGGAGUACGGCCGCAAGGUUAAAACUCAAAGGAAUUGACGGGGACCCGCACAAGCGGUGGAUGAUGUGGAUUAAUUCGAUGCAACGCGAAGAACCUUACCUACCCUUGACAUGCCAGGGAGCCCGAUGAGAGUCGGGUGUGCCCGAAAGGGAGCCUGGACACAGGUGCUGCAUGGCUGUCGU